rnacentral:rRNA from 1 species
GACGAACGCUGGCGGCGUGCUUAACACAUGCAAGUCGAACGGAAAGGCCCUGCUUUUGUGGUGUGCUCGAGUGGCGAACGGGUGAGUAACACGUGAGUAACCUGCCCUUGACUUUGGGAUAACUUCAGGAAACUGGGGCUAAUACCGGAUAGGAGCUCCUGCUGCAUGGUGGGGGUUGGAAAGUUUCGGCGGUUGGGGAUGGACUCGCGGCUUAUCAGCUUGUUGGUGGGGUAGUGGCUUACCAAGGCUUUGACGGGUAGCCGGCCUGAGAGGGUGACCGGCCACAUUGGGACUGAGAUACGGCCCAGACUCCUACGGGAGGCAGCAGUGGGGAAUAUUGCACAAUGGGCGGAAGCCUGAUGCAGCAACGCCGCGUGCGGGAUGACGGCCUUCGGGUUGUAAACCGCUUUCGCCUGUGACGAAGCGUGAGUGACGGGAAUGGGUAAAGAAGCACCGGCGAACUACGU